UACAGAGGGUGCAAGCGUUAAUCGGAAUUACUGGGCGUAAAGCGUGCGUAGACGGUUACAUAAGUCGGGUGUGGAAGCCCCGGGCUCAACCUGGGAAUUGCAUUCGAGACUGUGCAGCUAGGGUACGGAAGAGGGAAGCGGAAUUUCAGGUGUAGCGGUGAAAUGCGUAGAUAUCUGAAGGAACACCAGUGGCGAAAGCGGCUUCCUGGUCCAGUACCGACGUCAGGCACGAAAGCGUGGGGAGCAAACAGG
rnacentral:rRNA from 1 species